GCAGAGAACUUGUUGAGGAAGUUGGGAUUGGAAUGAGCCUCAGCAGAUGGGUAAGGUUUGAAUAGGAGGAGAAGAGAGGACAUUUCAGGGGAAAAGAAACAACACAGAGAGACAGAUACAGGUAUAAGAUAUGGUAAUAAGCCAAAAUGUAUUCUAAGAAUUAUAAAUGCAUGAAAUCAUCAUCAAAGUUUCCUUAGUGAUUAACUGCUUAUAUUUGGCCAGUGCAUAAGCUGUGAAAUUUUUCUUUAACUCAAACACUAAAUUACGAUGUCCUCAGGUUAUCAUAAACCCCAUUUGACUUCAUGCCUCUACUCUCUCAGGGCUGGCGCUGUGACAACUGCCGCAGACCUGGGGGUGAACCCAGUCCCGAAGGCACUACUGGUCAGUCCUACAACCAGUAUUCUCAGAGAUACCAUCAAAGAACAAACACUAAUGUUAAUUGCCCAAUUGAGUGCUUCAUGCCUUUAGAUGUACAGGCUGACAGAGAUGAUUCCCGAGAGUAAAUCUUUCCAACCCAGAGGAACAAGCGUGUCUCUCUGCCAAGAUCCAUCUAAACUGGAGUGAUGUUAGCAGACCCAUCUUAGAGUUCUUGUUUCUUUCUUAAGCCCUUUGCUCUGGAGGAAGUGCUCCAGCUUCAGCUCAACUCACAGCUUCUCCAAGCAUCACCCUGGGAGUGUCCUGAGAGUUUUCUCGUAAAUGAGGGCUGCACAUUGCCUGUUCUGCUUCAGAGUAUUCAAUACCGCUCAGUAUUUUAAAUGAAGUGAUUCUAACUUGUGAUUUGGUGUGGGAUCAAUAGGAAAGCAUAUGCAGCCAACCAAGAUGCAACAUGUAUUGAAAUGAUAUGACCAAAAUUUUAAGUAGGAAAGUCACCCAAACACUUCUGCUUUCACUUAAGUGUCUGGCCCGCGAUACUGUAGGAACAAGCAUGACCUUGUUACUGUGAUAUUUUAAAUAUCCACAGUACUCACUUUUUCCAAAUGAUCCUAGUAAUUGCCUAGAAAUCUUUCUCUUACCUGUUAUUUAUCAAUUUUUCCCAGUAUUUUUAUACGGAAAAAAUUGUAUUGAAAACACUUAGUAUGCAGUUGAUAAGAGGAAUUUGGUAUAACUAUGGUUGGUGAUUAUUUUUUAUACUGUAUGUGCCAAAGCUUUACUACUGUGGAAAGACAACUGUUUUAAUAAAAGAUUUACAUUCCACAA